CCCCUUAACAAUUUCGAACUUAUCUCUUUUCUUCUAGCUGGUCUUGGAUUGGACUAUGAUUCAUUUGUCACAUCAGUGACUACAAGGGUUGAUCCUUUCUCCAUUGAAGAAUUGUAUGGGAACUUACUAGCUCAUGAGA